rnacentral:tRNA from 1 species
GCUGGGAUGGUGGAACUGGCAGACACGAUAGGUUGAGGGCCUAUUGCCGCAAGGCGUGGGGGUUCAAAUCCCCCUCCCAGCA